rfam:Schistosoma mansoni, Puerto Rico, WGS project CABG01000000 data, contig: 0010
AUCCAGCUGAAGAGUCCCAAACGGUACGAAAUGCGCGUCCUGGAU